rnacentral:rRNA from 1 species
GACGAACGCUGGCGGCGUGCUUAACACAUGCAAGUCGAACGAAGUGGCGAACGGGUGAGUAACGCUUAAUCAACCUGCCCUUCAGAGGGGGACAACAGUUGGUAACGACUGCUAAUACCGAAUACUGAGGGAGGGGAUUGCGUGUGAUUAGCUAGGUGGUUGGGUAAAGGCCCACCAAGGCGAUGUUCAGUAGCCGGUCUGAGAGGAGGAACGGCCACAUUGGGACUGAGACAAGGCCCAGACUCCUACGGGAGGCAGCAGUGGGGAAUCUUCCGCAAUGGACGAAAGUCUGACGGAGCAACGCCGCGUGAGUGAUGACGGCCUUCGGGUUGUAAAGCUCUGUUAAUCGGGACGCGGUACCGGAAUAGAAAGCCACGGCUAACUACGUGCCAGCAGCCGCGGUAAUAC